rnacentral:rRNA from 1 species
AGUUCGUAGGUGACCUGCGGAAGGAUCAUUACAAUUCUGUAGUUGUCUACUGUCGGGAGGCGCUGUCAGUCCGCAUAGUUUAAUUACUGACGAGCGGCAAGCCCUCUGUCUGGACCCUUGUCUUUUGCGCACCCAAGUUUCCUCGGCGGGCAUGCCCGCCGGUUGGACAACCUUAUAACCUUUUUAAUUUUCAAUCAGCGUCUGAAAAACUUAAUAAUUACAACUUUCAACAACGGAUCUCUUGGUUCUGGCAUCGAUGAAGAACGCAGCGAAAUGCGAUAAGUAGUGUGAAUUGCAGAAUUCAGUGAAUCAUCGAAUCUUUGAACGCACAUUGCGCCCCUUGGUAUUCCAUGGGGCAUGCCUGUUCGAGCGUCAUUUGUACCCUCAAGCUCUGCUUGGCGUUGGGUGUUUGUCCUCUCCCUGCGUUUGGACUCGCCUUAAAGCAAUUGGCAGCCAGUGUUUUGGUAUUGAAGCGCAGCACAAAUUGCGAUUCUUGCUGAUAAUACUUGCGUCCAUAAGCCUUUUUUAACUUUUGACCUCGGAUCAGGUAGGGAUACCCGCUGAACUUAAGCAUAUCAAUAAGCGGAGGA